AGCAGCCGCGGUAAUUCCAGCUCCAAUAGCGUAUAUUAAAGUUGUUGCAGUUAAAAAGCUCGUAGUUGAAUUUCGGGGUUAGUAGGUUGGUCAUGCCUCUGGUAUGUACUGGUCUCACUGAUUCCUCCUUCCUGAUGAGCCGUAAUGCCAUUAAUUUGGUGUUGCGGGGAAUUUGGACUGUUACUUUGAAAAAAUUAGAGUGUUUAAAGCAAGCUAACGCUUGAAUACAUUAGCAUGGAAUAAUGAAAUAGGACGUUCGAUCCUAUUUUGUUGGUUUCUAGGGUUGACGUAAUGAUUAAUAGGGAUAGUUGGGGGCAUUAGUAUUCAAUUGUCAGAGGUGAAAUUCUUGGAUUUAUUGAAGACUAACUACUGCGAAAGCAUUUGCCAAGGAUGUUUUCAUUAAUCAAGAACGAAAGUUAGGGGAUCGAAGACGAUCAGAUACCGUCGUAGUCUUAACCAUAAACUAUGCCGACUAGGGAUCGGAUGAUGUUAAUUUUUUAAUGACUCA
rnacentral:rRNA from 1 species